GACGAACGCUGGCGGCGUGCUUAACACAUGCAAGUCGAACGGAAAGGCCCUGCUUUUGUGGGGUGCUCGAGUGGCGAACGGGUGAGUAACACGUGAGUAACCUGCCCUUGACUUUGGGAUAACUUCAGGAAACUGGGGCUCAUACCGGAUAGGAGCUCCUGCUGCAUGGUGGGGGUUGGAAAGUUUCGGCGGUUGGGGAUGGACUCGCGGCUUAUCAGCUUGCUGGGGGGGUAGUGGCUUACCAAGGCAUUGACGGGUAGCCGGCCUGAGAGGGUGACCGGCCACAUUGGGACUGAGAUGCGGCCCAGACUCCUACGGGAGGCAGCAGUGGGGAAUAUUGCACAAUGGGCGGAAGCCUGAUGCAGCAACGCCGCGUGCGGGAUGACGGCCUUCGGGUUGUAAACCGCUUUCGCCUGUGACGAAGCGUGAGUGACGGUAAUGGGUAAAGAAGCACCGGCUAACUACGUG
rnacentral:rRNA from 1 species